rnacentral:tRNA from 1 species
GGGGUUGUAGCUCAAUGGUAGAGCGCUUGCCUAACAAGCAUGAGGCACUAGGUUCAAUCCUCAGCACCA